AAGACAAACUACUGCGAAAGCAUUUGCCAAGGAUGUUUUCAUUGAUCAAGAACGAAGGAAGGGGGAUCGAAAACGAUCAGAUACCGUUGUAGUCUCUUCUGUAAACUAUGCCAAUUGGGGAUUAGCACAGGAUUUUCAAUGACUGUGUUAGCACCCGAAGAGAAAUCUUUAAAUGAGGUUCGGGGGGGAGUAUGGUCGCAAGGCUGAAACUUAAAGGAAUUGACGGAAGGGCACCACCAGGUGUGGAGCCUGCGGCUUAAUUUGACUCAACACGGGGAAAC
rnacentral:rRNA from 1 species